GCCACAGUGAAGGGCCGAGGCACGCAGCGGCCAGGCCCCCUCCCGAGAACAGCCGUGCCCAGCACUUGAGCAGUGCGCCGGCCAGGGGCAGCACCCUGCCCCGCCAAAAGCCUGUCACCCCCGACCCAGCCUGGCUCCCCGAGAAGCAGGGCCCCUUCGGGGAGCCCCUGCCCUUGCAGAGCUCACCCCAACGAGGGACGGGUGGAGCCCUGUGUCGGCCCCAGCCCGGCCCCGCCCUCCCGGCAGACCCACCUCCGCGAAGGGCACUGCAGCUGUGACAUCACCGCCGCCACCUAGACUGCCCCACAGCCAUGACCUGAGGCCCAGACGGUGGCCAGAGGCUCCCCACGCCAGCCAGCCCGGACCCGGGAGGUGGGAGCCACCACCUCACGCGCUCAUGGACUGUCUGGCGGGAGUCGUCCCCGCCGCCCGCCAGCCCCCCUACGCCCGCCCUUCUCAUUUUCGCGUCUGCAUUGUGUCACACAUUCUAAUCAUUCAUGAAAAAGCCAGCCAAAGCAUCCCAAGCAUGAUUCCCCUCUGAUAGUUGCCAUGGUGACCUUGGGAAGUAGCCAACCCCUGAUGGUCGCCAUGGAAACAGAGAAGCCCACAGCAACAAUGGCUUCGGGCUGGCGGUGCAGACACGGCAGGUUGCGGGACAGUAAACAAACCCUUGGUGCCCUGGCAGCCAGGGGGGCAGGAGGGGAACAGGCACCUGGCACACUGACGCCAGCUUACGGGAUCAGGGUCCGCUCCCCAGGUUCCAAACGCCACGUGAAGUGAACUGAGCAGAGAGACCGUCAGAGAAACGCGCCCAAGGAGGGGAAAUGGGGCCCCAGAGACGGAGCCGCAUCAAAGCCUCCAUCUGGGGGGAGCGAGACUCAGGGGGAUGGGCUCCACAACGCCCACAGUCCUGGGACCCUCACUGCAGCAUGGCCUGGGCCUCCACCCAUUGGCCCUGCCGCCAAGGGCCCGCCCGCCCCUCACCCCAGAGGCUGCCAACACGACAGAGGGGCCGGCACCCAGGCCUGCAGACGCCGACUGCCCCUUGCAUCGUGGCUGCUCUCCCAGGUACUAAUGAUGGCGGUGGAGAGCAGGACGGCAGCGGGGCCGAGCCGGGUAUGGCCUCCGGGGGCCCGCACUCCUCGGCACCCCUCGCAAGGUUUCACACGGGUGCCCGAGCCAGACACGCAGCAGGCUGAGGCAACCCUAGCAGGGAGCUAAGAGCCGCUUCCUGACAGUGGCUUGAUGCCCUGGCAUCUGGGGGCACCAACGAGCACCCCACAGGCCCGCCCCUCCCUGCAGGUGCGGGGGUCAAAGCCAGGCUGAAGGAGUCUCCAGGAGCCUGGCGGGAGCCCGGCGGCUGGGAGAGCCUGAGAAACUUCUCCAUGGCGGGCGGGUGGCCGGCGGGGACCGUUCCAGCUCACACUCCCAAGCACGUCAGCACACAAGGGCCCGGAGCCGCCAGGGCAUAGCUGUGCGGUGAGUCACCAGCUGUUUACAGAGCUGGGAGCUCACAUUCCCACAGCCCCGAGGCCCCUCCCACCCUGCCAGGACCCGAUGGGAAAAGGAAGGCCCCAGCCAAGGAGGGGCCUGCUCAGACCCCCCACCACACCCCACAGGCGUUCUGUGGCCCCCCCCCCCCCCGGGGAUGGUGACAUGCCAGCUCAGCCAGGUCAUGGGCCGUGUUCAGGGCAGGGAUGCCCCCCGGGGACCUGACCACCAGGAAUCACGUGGCGGGACACCUAGGUGACCAGGACGCGCACAGGCCUGGGCCGCAGCGCUCGGCGAGCUUGGCCUCCUCCCCUGCACAUAAGGGUCUAUCGCCCACAUCAGCGAGGUGAAGGUUGCCCGGGCAUAGCCCCGUGUUCAUGGGCUCUGAGCCCAUCUCGCCUGCGCCCCUGGACUAAUGGGGGCCCACCACCAUGGGCAAGGAGCCUCAGCAGAGACGGGAGAGCAGCCCUGGGGUCCCGCCUGGGGUCUGAGCGAGGAGGACGCCUCUCUCUAAGAGAGGGCACCAUGGUGGGGUCCGACCUCAGGGAACUGUCCCUAGUUCUCAGACCUUCUCUCCAAAGAGAGUGACAGGAGGACUAGAGGAGCGAACGUGCCGAGGUGACGGCUGCCCUGGUCUCGAGACAAAGUUGGGGAGUAAUUCAGUAAACCCUCUUCUCUCUGUGGGUCUUAAUCUCCUCUCCUGAAAAAUGAGGGGAUCAGAAAUGGGGCCCCAGGGUCUUGUCCAGCUCCCAAAGGUUCUCGGCUGGGUCCAAUGGGUGACGCUAGGAGAGAGACCCUGGCUGGGGGCUCCAUUCUCAACCCCCAGACUUCAGGGUCUGUACCAGAGGCCCCCUGAGGAACCAGAGACGGGGGGAGGCUGGGAAACCCCAGGCAGGACACCAUUGCACAGCUCUGUGCUCAUAAGCAGGACCCCCACUGCCUCGGCCCCUUCAGGGACCCGCUUUCCUGGGAAGUUUUCACCAACUGCUGGAGAGACGCGCUGCCCACCCGCCCCGUCUGCGCCCCAGCGGCCUGCCCCGCGAGAACCUCAUCGCACAGCCACAGGCUCCAGGUCCAGGGGCAGAGAGCCCUUCUCUUGGGAACUCAGUACACAGAGAAGAGCUGCACUGUCCCUUACCUCUACCCAAAAUACACAAAACACAUGUGCUAUCGACCUAAAGACACUCCAAACAUUAGAAAAAGGACAACCUGCUUUUGGUUCAGAGGAGCGAGGUUCAGAGGAGAGUUUCGGAUGAGUGAAAAAGAGUCAGUGAAACAAGUGAUUUUAAAACAACUGUCCUAAAAUGGGUAUUUGUAAGCCACGGAACCUCAGGCAACCUCCACGGGCACCAGAGCACACACAGGAAGAACUGUCUUCUGAGCCGGCCGGAACCCAGCCGGGGUUACACACUGCAGCCUGGCGCGGUGGGGCCAGGCGCGCGCCCCAGAAGCUGGCCUCCCCUCCUGUCAAGGGUCUAACGCCACAUUACCGCAUCAGCAACCGUCAGCGCCAAAAACGCCUCUCCAACAGCUGCCCACGAGGAUGCUCCAGCUGGGCUGUCCCACGUCCACGGACCGACAAGUCUUAGCGAUGCCGUGUGCAGAGAGCCCGCGCUCCCAGGGGCUUUCUGAUGCCACUCCAGUCACCCGAGCAGCUCAGCGGCCCGUGCCAGGCUGCGUCUGGAACGGUGUGUCUGCACGUCCGCUGCGUGCACCCACUUGCCCAUCCAAGUGGGAGUGACCACGCGCGUCCCCUUCAGCCCAGAGGGGGCCGCUGGUCAGGAGCGGGCGCAGUCAGCACUUAGAACGUGGAACACCUUUCGGGCGACUAUUUUUCUAACUGAAGAGGCUGGUUUUCAACCCAAAGCCAGAAACUUCAUUCUGACGUACAUCUAAACAAGGUGAACAAGGAAGGAUAAUUUCCUUUAAAAGCAGAGGAAACACCCGAGCAGCUCAGAUGGAGUCAGCUCCAGUGACCGCACAGUUUGGAAUAAAUUAGGGAGCCCGGGGCGCCCCGCCCCUUCCGGCCCGUAAAGAACAGGGCAGGGCGACUCUGCCCAGGGGAGCUGGGCAUCGCGGCCCUGCGCUCCGGGAGGGCGGGGCAGGUGGCCCAGGUUCCACCAUCCACCACUGCCUUCCAGAAGCAGGUGCAAACCCUGAAGCCAGAAGCCACCCAGAUGUGGCCGACUCUGCUCUGCAGGGCUGCGGGCCUCUCACAGGUGACCAAAGCUGAGCGCCCCUCCGGCUGGCUGCACGGCGGGGUUGACCCACACAGCGGGCUCCUGACAAACAAGCAAACGCUGACUCGUCCACAGUGACCUGUUGCCUCACCGGCUGAACACAGGCCCCAGGACCAGGAGGGCUUGGGACCACCUCCAGACCACCCUGCCCGCCUCCGGACACAGGGUUCUGCUGAUGUCACACCCCAGCUCCCCUCAACGUGGGGGGUGUCCCGCAGCACCUCGCUGUGCACCCCACCAGCCCGGCCCACACCCAGCCUGCAGGCUGGCCCUGGCUGGCUGCCCUCCGGCAAGACAAGACUGUCUGCCCGGCUUGGGGGACGUCUGGUCACCUUGUGUUUGCGGUUCGAGGAAGCUGUGUCAUCCUGGCUCCAUCCGGAGCCAUCUCAUGCUGCCCAGGGCUCCAGUCAGCCUCAACCUCCACGUGUAGCCAGGAUGCUCCCUGGAAAAACCGACAGGCCCGAGACACACGCGUCUCCCGCAGCUGCCCUCCCGUGUCUCCAGCUCAGACGACCCACCAUGGCAUUCACGCAGACAUCACCCCCCAGGCCUCACCUCUCCCUCCACGGCCGCUCGCUGACCCCAGCCUGCUGGCCUCAACCGAGUCUUCCUGCAGAUGCUCUGGCCCCCCGCUUCUCAUCAGGACUCCUGCCUCAGUCCCUCAAAUGCAGCCCCCCAGGUCGCCUGUGACUGUAAACAAACUCCGCAGAGUGAAAGCGUGCACGGCGGACAAAGAACAGACCGGAACCCGACCUCACGCAGUGGCAGCCUGGGCGCUGGAGAAAGGGCUGGAACGCAGCAAGCCCCGCACUCAGGAAGAGCGACUCCCCCAGUAGCCUCGACUCAACUCCCAUUUUUAGCAACCACCUUGAAAGUAAGCGACGCUGAACUUGGACCCGGGCCCUUAAAGUCCAGCGACCUUCAAGCACAAAAGGAAAUGCGCUCCGGGGAGAAGCCUCGCUUUGUGUUUUUGAGUUAAU
rnacentral:lncRNA from 1 species